GGGGAAUUUUGGACAAUGGGCGAAAGCCUGAUCCAGCAAUGCCGCGUGCAGGACGAAGGCCUUCGGGUUGUAAACUGCUUUUGUACGGAACGAAAAGACACUGGCUAAUACCUGGUGUUGAUGACGGUACCGUAAGAAUAAGCACCGGCUAACUACGUGCCAGCAGCCGCGGUAAUACGUAGGGUGCGAGCGUUAAUCGGAAUUACUGGGCGUAAAGCGUGCGCAGGCGGUUUUGUAAGACAGAGGUGAAACCCCCGGGCUCAACCUGGGAACUGCCUUUGUGACUGCAAGGCUAGAGUGCGGCAGAGGGGGAUGGAAUUCCGCGUGUAGCAGUGAAAUGCGUAGAUAUGCGGAGGAACACCGAUGGCGAAGGCAAUCCCCUGGGCCUGCACUGACGCUCAUGCACGAAAGCGUGGGGAGCAAAC
rnacentral:rRNA from 1 species